GCGGGACCGCGAGCCCGCGUGGGCGCUCGGCUAGGACCAGGGCCGCGAGGGACCUCUGCUGGGCGCCCCUUGCCUCUCCCCCUCCCCAGGUGGUGUCCGCCGCCACUGCCUAUGGAGCAGCCCAUUGCUGGGAUGAAAAGGGGCUCAUCCCUACAGAUUGGCUUCUUAGAAGUCAAAUGAAUGGCUUACUUUCUACUCCAGAAGCUGCUGCCUGAAUGGUAAAGUACUAGGAAUAGACCUGAUCAUGUAUGGUCGCCCUCAGGGGCCUGACCCUCUCAGGUCCACUGAGACUUCUGAAAAGCUGAUUGCUGGAGUGAAGCAGGGACUAAGAGCAAGCGGGAUCCCCAGCACCACAUCCAGCCCCACACAUUCCCAGCUACCUGCUCCGAAUUCAAGAAAAAACGUGCCUUAGGACUUCCUUUCUCCCAGGAAGAUGGAGGGUGGGGCAGGGUGGUGAUAAGAUGCUGGACAGGAAGGAGAGCCUGCCUAUCUGUGAGGCCACUGGUUUGAGCCACCGGUCUGCCUGACAGCCAUCUCAUCAGGCCAAACCUCUCUCCAUCCCCAUUCUCUGGCAGAAGCCCGUGUCUGGGGUACACCAACUGGAAAUUAGUAACUCCCUUGGGGUCUCUACGCUGUUCCCCCUCUGUCUGUCUCAUAUCUCAGCCUCAGCUCAGAACUGACGGGGAAGAGGCAGUGUGUCAAGUUCUGAGUCCCACGGAGGCGGACUGGGUACCAGUGUCAUCUGUAUGAUCGCAUUCCUCUCACUCAUAGGAGGAUGGGACUUUCCUUCCCUCAGUACACGUGUUCCUGACUCUGAAGAAAUAAAAGGGAAGUGGUUCCCAGUACAUCUCAGUCUCAGAGAAUCUGGUGGCCAUUCCCAGCCUUUCUCUCUGAAAGAAGCUAAUAAUUCGGAGCCAAUUCAUGGGCAAAUAGUAGCACAUCUCCUUCUCUCCCAGGAGGUGACAGACUCAAGGAGUGCCAGGCAGAUUAUGUAAGUCUGCAACCAGUGAAAGGUAACAGGGAGUGGUGGGGUCUUCAGCCCUCUCUCAAAAGUACGUGCCUCUCCUCAAGGCAUUCCAUUUCAUGUUUGCUUGUUGUAAACACUAUGCUCAGCAAAGACUCAGGUUGCCUGGUUUGGUCUCUUGGGUAAUCCCCUAAUUUCUUGAUCUUUCUGGUGACACACCUAUCCCUAGCUAUAGGGUCACAAGUAUUGACACAGAGUAGAGAUACAGCACAUGCAGGGACACAUUGCCCUAUAGAGUUGCACAAGGUCACCUGUGUAUACUCUAAUACCAGACACCAAAGAAGCAGACGGUCUGUAAGAAAGCGUAAGGACACUCACAGAGGAGCUGCCCAUCCCCAGCUUGGCUUCCUGUCCACCUCUUGCCAACAUCCUUCCUCUCUGCCCCCUCCUCCUCCUCAUUUGCCCACUGGGACCUAGGGCUGCUGCUCACACCGUCUCAUCUCCCCUCCUCUCUCCCUGGAAGUGGUACUCUGUAGAUCCCAAAGGGUGUGAUUGGAAAUGGGGUGGGAGGGGCACUCUGCACAGUUAACCCAUGUGGUAGAGCCAACACACAUGCAUCUGGGGUCUCUGGAAUGUCCCCC